UAUACUAUUCUGACAGCGGUAGCAUCUUACCUCAUUAUAUAUAUGAGUUAUGUUAUGCUGUGAAAUCAACUUUAUAUUAAGUUGAUCAGUAUAAAACACUAUUUCUUAGCUGGAAAUUUGCUCCUCCAACCUCACAGAAUGUCAUAAAUUAUCUUGAAAAAUAUGCUAUUGUAUCAGUCCAUACUUGGAAAUGCAGUGGACAAUGGUAUUUCAGAUAUAGGUAUAGUUGAGUAAUUAUUCUAUAUAGUUAAUGGAAAAGGACUUUCAAAUAUAGUUUGCUUUCUGUUCUUCAUUCAUUUCUUGUUAAGAAGAUAAAUUCCAAAAAUUUUACCAGGAUGUCUAGCCAAGUAGGAAUCAGACACCUAUGGAUACUCUAGAAUGCCAAACAAUCUGAAAUCUCUAGAGCCCUGCCUUUUGCAAGCAGCAUGAUUUUGUGGGUUUUCCUAUAAAAAAGUCCACCAACUACAAGGAAGUCGAUCUCUCUGCAAGAAAUCUAGAGACAAAAUUCAUAAUUUGCUUUUUUCACAUGUUUUUUGUCCAUCUGCCUACUGGAUGACACAAGAAUGUAAAAGAUUGUGCUGCUUUAUUCCCUUAUGUAAACGCAGCCACUAUGGUUUACUUGCUUGUAGUAUUGCCAUUUUUCCUGUGUUCCAAAUCUCAUUUCUUCAUCCCUCCCUUCACACACCCACUACUAUUUUCUUCUUCACAUUCAAGAACUACUGUGCUUCUACUACCAAGAAACGUACAGUCCAUGAAGUCUUCUGAUUAAGAAAACUGAAACCUGCAUGUUCCGUCUAUUCCUAAAUGAAGGAGGCAAAGGAUUUUAUAGACCCAUAGAUUACUUGUAGGUUAGCUCAAAUCUAUAAAGCCUGUUUUAAAUUAAUGUUUUGUCUGACUCAAAGGACUCUAUUUUUGCUGUCAUGCUUUUGUUUAAAUGCAAAGUUUUGUGGCUGAUUGUUGAUGAUGAUACCUUUUGCAAAUGUUCUCCUGAAAGUCUCAAGAUUUACAUUCUAUUUUCUGUUCCUCUUUGUCUUAUUAAUAUU